CCCACGGGUAAAAACCCGCUCCCCGAGUGGUAGGGACUAUUACUGGGCCUAAAAGCGCCCCGUAGCCGGCCCUGGUGUGUCCCUCGUUAAAAUCCACAGGCCUAACCUGUGGGGCUGCGGGGGAUACUACCAGGCUUGGGGGUGGGAGAGGGCGCCCCGGUAUUCCUGGGGUAGGGGUAAAAUCCUCUGAUCCCGGGAGGACCUGCAGUGGCGAAGGC
rnacentral:rRNA from 1 species